AUUGAACGCUGGCGGCAUGCCUUACACAUGCAAGUCGAACGGUAACAGGUUAAGCUGACGAGUGGCGAACGGGUGAGUAAUGUAUCGGAACGUGCCCAGUCGUGGGGGAUAACUGCUCGAAAGAGCAGCUAAUACCGCAUACGACCUGAGGGUGAAAGCGGGGGAUCGCACGACCUCGCGCGAUUGGAGCGGCCGAUAGCAGAUUAGGGAGUUGGUGGGGUAAAGGCCUACCAAGCCUACGAUCUGUAGCUGGUCUGAGAGGACGACCAGCCACACGGGGACUGAGACACGGCCCAGACUCCUACGGGAGGCAGCAGUGGGGAAUUUGGGACAAUGGACGCAAGUCUGAUCCAGCCAUGCCGGGUGCGGGAAGAAGGCCUUCGGGUUGUAAACCGCUUUUGUCAGGGAAGAAAAGGUUCUGGUUAAUACCUGGGACUCAUGGCGGUACCUGAAGAAUAAGCACCGGCUAACUACGUGCCAGCAGCCGCCGUAACAC
rnacentral:rRNA from 1 species